UACGUAGGGACCGAGCGUUGUCCGGAUUCAUUGGGCGUAAAGAGCUCGUAGGCGGCCACUCAAGUCGAAUGUGAAACCUCGAGGCUUAACCUCGAGCCUGCAUUCGAUACUGGGUGGCUAGAGUCUGGUAGGGGGAUCUGGAAUUCCUGGUGUAGCGGUGGAAUGCGUAGAUAUCAAGUGGAACACCAGUGGCGAAGGCGAAUCCCUGGAAAAUACCUGACACUGAGGCACGAAAGCUAGGGGAGCGAACAGG
rnacentral:rRNA from 1 species